GCGUGCUUCUAUCCUUAUGGAGGGUUCGUCGUUGCUAAAACUCAAGCCCUCAGUUGCACCGCCGGAGUUGAACAUAUCAAUCAAUCCAAUUGGGGCAAAAUGGAGGGUGUCGUUCACAGCCUGUUCAUAUAAAAGUUACAUAUCGAGACAACGAUCCUAUUUCGUGAUAUCAUGUUAA